UGAAUAUAGCCUAGUGGACAUGGCAUCUGCCCGGUAAGCGGAACACUGUGGGUUCGAUUCCCAUUCCUGGACAC